AUUGAAAUGUACGACUUAGUAUGCUAUCUAAAAAGUUAUGAAAACUUCGUGAUCUGUACAAAUUGCAUGGAGAUCAGUUCAGACCAGCGGUAGAACAGUAUGAUCCGUCGCCAUUUUGUUUAUUUUCGCGUAAAAGAGAUUUAAGGAAGCAUCUGAGCAGAUCUUUUUGCCUUUGUCCGUGAAAAGAUCAGCUGAAUGUAUUGAUAGUUACGUUAGAAGGUUGGAAGAAUAAAAUUCACAAAAAAAAUUAUUUGUAUAGUGCGUUAUUGACAGUUUGAAGAAAAGACUAAGAUCUAAAUUCCAAAAAUACGAAAUUUGUAAGAAAUACGCAACACUCACAACUAUAAACGUGCCGGUACCGCGGUACGGAAAACGUUUCUCGGAUCGGUUAGGAAAAAGUGAAGAAAUAAAAAGUGGAAAGUGUAAGCGAGAUAGGUGCUAUAAGAGUGAGAAAAGAAAGUCGUGACGACAAGAAGAGAAACGUAAGAAUUACGAAGAUAUCAUCCAAGGGUGGAAUAUAUACUGUGGGCGUCCCCCGAAAAAGCGGGGUCAUUGCAAGCAAAUAUUAGUCGUCAUCGUGUGGUGAAACGACAUCCUUAUUAAGUCGUUCUAGUGAUUAUAAUUCAACCAUAAUUAGAAUCGAACAAUUCCUGCAAUCGAAUUUUCUUGAACAAUAAUCGUUUGUCUUUAGUGAAAAUAACCAGUAUAUUGAACAACAGCAUUCGAUUUUCAUUAAAAAUUCGUUUGUGAUUGCACCAAUUAAAUUAAUUUCAGAAGUAACCUCGACGGCGAAAGCCGCCUACGAGGUUCCCGGCACAAUCAAAACGACCAUCAAUAUCGGUAUUGCAAUGAACCACGUUAACGAUCAGGAGAACCUUAAACAGCUCAACCUGGCACCAGUUCAGGUUAAUGAAGUUGAAGAAAUGGAUACACAAGAAGGAGAAACACCAAAUGAUGGUGGAGGUGAUGGUAAUGAUACCAGUCCUAUGAAUGGAGAAUCAGAAGUAGCUUGUAUAGUUCAAGAUCAGGAAAUGGAAGAAGAUGAAGCAAGGUCAGAAGCCACAUUUCGCUACACGGUGGAAAACCUUUCAAAGAUGAAGGAAACACAACUGUCUCCUCCAUGUUAUAUACGUAAUCUGCCAUGGAAAAUAAUGGUAAUGCCAAGGACGAGUCAAACUCAAGAUAGAACUCCUCAAAAGUCACUUGGAUUUUUUCUGCAAUGUAAUGGAGAAAGUGAAUCAACAUGGAGUUGUUAUGCAGUUGCAGAUCUUCGACUACUUUCUUGCAAAGAAGGCCAGGAACCAUUUAACAGAAGGAUUCAACAUCUGUUUUACAGUAAAGAAAAUGAUUGGGGAUUUAGUCAUUUUAUGACAUGGCAGGAUGUUUUGGAUCCUGAUAAAGGUUUUAUCAAAGAUGAUUCUAUUACACUUGAGGUUCAUGUAAUGGCUGAUGCUCCGCACGGUGUUAGCUGGGACAGCAAAAAGCAUACAGGAUUUGUUGGAUUAAAAAAUCAAGGUGCUACAUGUUACAUGAAUUCCUUACUUCAAACUUUGUAUUUUACUAAUCAGUUGCGCAAAGCAGUCUAUAAAAUGCCAACAGAAAGUGAUGAUUCUAGCAAAAGUGUUGCUUUGGCGUUACAGAGGGUUUUUCAUGAAUUACAGUUUUCUGAUAAACCAGUCGGUACAAAAAAAUUAACCAAAAGUUUUGGUUGGGAAACACUGGAUUCUUUCAUGCAACACGAUGUACAAGAAUUUUUACGAGUGCUUUUAGAUAAACUGGAAAGUAAAAUGAAAGGAACAUGUGUUGAAGGUACAGUGCCAAAAUUAUUUGAAGGAAAAAUGGUAUCAUUUAUCAAAUGUAAAAACAUUGAUUACAAGUCAACUAGGGUUGAGACUUUCUAUGACAUACAAUUAAAUAUAAAAGGCAAAAAAAAUAUUUAUGAGUCUUUUAAUGACUAUGUAAGUACUGAAAGUCUGGACGGUGAUAAUAAAUAUGAUGCGGGAGAACAUGGAUUACAAGAAGCAGAGAAAGGUGUUAUCUUUUCAUCGUUUCCACCAGUUCUACAUUUACAUUUAAUGCGAUUUCAAUAUGAUCCAGUUACAGAUUGUUCUGUCAAAUUUAAUGAUAGGUUUGAAUUUUAUGAAAAAAUAAGUCUUGGCAAAUAUUUACAAAACAAAGAAGCAACUAGUGCCGAUUAUACAUUACAUGCAGUCUUAGUUCACAGUGGAGAUAAUCAUGGUGGACAUUAUGUUGUAUUUAUCAAUCCAGCCGGCGAUGGAAAAUGGUGCAAAUUCGAUGAUGAUGUCGUGUCAAGAUGUACAAAACAGGAAGCCAUUGAACAUAAUUACGGUGGUCAAGAUGAGGAUAUGUCUAUAGCUGUCAAACAUUGUACAAACGCCUACAUGUUGGUGUAUAUAAGGGACUCUGAGUUGGAAAAUGUUUUGCAAGAAGUCAAGGAAGAGGAUAUACCUCAAGAGCUGGUGGAGAGGCUGCAAGAGGAGAAGAGGCUGGAACAAAUACGGAGAAAGGAAAGAACAGAAGCAUACUUGUAUAUAACCGUCAACGUCCUUCUCGAGGAUAAUUUUGACGGUCACCAAGGAAAUGACUUAUAUGAUCCGGAGCAUGCUUUGUAUCGUGUAUUUCGCGUACGUAAGCAGUGUGCCUUACACGAAUUUCUCAAAUUGCUGAGUGAUAGCUUGAAAUAUCCAAUAGAGCAAAUUCGUUUAUGGCCACUGAAUGUACGUUCAAAUCAGACCUGUAGACCAAUGCCAAUUGAAUUAGAAACCGAUCUUCCGAAAUCUAUUUAUCAAUGUGCAGAAAAUCCAAAUGUUUGGAAUGUAUUUGUUGAACUUGUUCCUCCAGAUUCCGAUCUAACAGCAUUACCACCUUUUGAUAAAGAUACAGAUGUAUUGUUGUUUUUUAAGUUAUAUGAUCCCAAAAAUAAAAAAAUUCACUACUGUGGACAUCACUACAUGCCUGUCACGGCUAAAGUCCAGGACCUUAUACCGAUUUUAAAUGAGAGAGCUGGAUUUCCACCAGAUACUGAACUAGCCCUUUAUGAAGAAAUCAAGCCAAAUUUGGUUGAAAAGAUUGACAGCUUAACAGAACCAUUAGAAAAAGUCCUUGAAGAAUUGAUGGAUGGCGAUAUUAUUGUUUUUCAGAAAGAAGGGGAUAAUCAAAUAUAUGAGCUUCCAACGUGUAGAGAAUAUUUCAAAGAUUUAUUCCAUAGAGUAGACAUAACAUUUUGUGAUAAAACAAUUCCAAAUGACCCUGGUUUCGCUAUGGAACUUUCAUUAAGAAUGACAUAUGAUCAGAUGGCACGAGCUGUAGCACAAAGGCUUGGUACAGAUCCAUAUCUUCUACAAUUCUUUAAAUGCCAGAGUUAUAAAGAUUCGCCUGGCCAUCCAUUAAAGUGUACAUUUGAAGGAUCACUUAAAGAUUUGGUUUCCUACUGUAAAUCAAAAACAAAAAAAUUGUAUUAUCAACAACUUAGUAUUAGAGUGAAUGAGCUUGAAAAUAAAAAGCAGUUUAAAUGCAUAUGGGUUGGCCCGUCUCUUAAAGAAGAAAAAGAAAUUAUUCUUUAUCCUAAUAAGGAUGGAACAGUAGCUACAUUGCUCGAAGAAGCUAAGAAACAAGUUGAGUUAGCAGAAAAUGGUUCUGGAAAGUUAAGGCUAAUAGAAAUUAAUUGUAAUAAAGUUUCACAUGGCCCAAGAGAGGAAGUAUUCUUGGAUAACUUAAAUCCAUCUGGUACUAAAUUAUACAGAAUAGAAGAAAUUCCAAAUGACGAGUUAAAUUUGGCAGCGGAUGAAAUGUUGGUUCCUGUUGCACAUUUUCAUAAAGAUGUUUUUUCAACAUUUGGUAUUCCCUUUUUCUUUAAAAUUAAACAUGGUGAACCUUUCCCAAAGAUGAAGGAAAGACUAUUGAAGAAACUAGGUGUGCAAGAAAAAGAAUUCGAAAAGUUUAAGUUCGCGGUGGUGUCAAUGGGAAAACCACAUUUUAUUAUGGAUUCACCAGAUUAUUGCAUGGACCUUGAAGAUUUUCGUUUUCAUCCAAGUCAGUUUUAUGCACUUUCAAACGCAGGCGCAACGCCACAUAUACCUUGGCUAGGCCUAGAACAUGUCAACAAAGCGCCAAAGCGCUCUCGUAUCAACUACCUCGAAAAGGCUAUUAAAAUUUACAAUUAAAUUUUCAACGUAUGAAGAAAAAUAAAAUUAGGCAGCCAUUCAUAUAAUUUACACGACUCUAUAGUAAAAAAACUAUGUUUUACAUGCGGUGAUUGAAAAUGCGUUUAUUCGGUUGUCCAACCAAAUAAUGCGCAAUUUCAACGUUAUGGUCAUGUUAAUGAAAGGGAUUUUAUGUAAUGGCCGGAUCGAUGAUACAACAUCGAUACCAUUAUGCUUCAACAACAAUGGAUUACACACUUCUAUCAGUGAAACCAAUUUUUGUAUUCAUAAAUAUUUUGCCUCUCGUUGACAAGCAAUUUGAUUAAUGCUAUUGAGAAUAAGGCAUGUGACUCUUACAAGAGCAAUAAUUUAUUUAUCAAACACAUUUUACUCUAAAACUGUAUAAUUGCAACUGCAAAAUGAAGAAAGCUUUCGUGUGGAGAAACAAAAAGGUAUUUAUACAUGUAAUAUAAUACUACUUUCUAGAAAGAUUCUUUUAAAAUUUUACCUUUGAUCCUGCCACGUAAAAUCUUUGUAACUGAUGUAAUAAGACCCAAAGAAACACUAUGUAAUGUUUUGUGUAAUGUAAUACUUAAAGUGUCAUUAUUAGAACAAAAUUAUUCACAUGCUCCUGUUUUGUAUUAUACUAAAGAAGUUUGAAAUGCAGACUUACAGUUACCUUGUAAUCUUAUAUUUUGCAUAUUAAGGUAAUUUUUGGCGAAAAAAUAAACGUUAAUAAUUUGUUUAUGGUAUCGUUUCUUGUAAAAUGCAUCUCUGUACAUGAAAAUGUAGUUAUCAUAUCCUUGAUUGAAGAGAAAUGUAAUCAGAGUAUGAUAUUGUUAUAUAAAAAAUUACUAUAAAGCAUCUAUAUAAUUUA
rnacentral:misc_RNA from 1 species